rnacentral:tRNA from 2 species
CCUUCGAUAGCUCAGUUGGAAGAGCGUGGGACUGUAAUGGUUACAAACUGGCAUCCCAAGGUCACUGGUUCGAUCCCGGUUCGAAGGA